CGGAGAUAGCUGGUUCUCCUCGAAAUAGCUUUAGGGCUAGCCUCGUUUUAGUCUUAUGGAGGUAGAGCACUGAAUUUCCGCGGGGGCGUCAAAGCUUACCAAAGAAUAUCAAACUCCGAAUGCCAUUAAGAUGAUGAACGGGAGUCAGACUGUACGAGAUAAGUUGGACAGUCAAAAGGGAAAGAGCCCAGACCACCAGCUAAGGUCCCAAAGUGUGUGUUAAGUGGAAAAGGAUGUGGGGAUUCAAAGACAACUAGGAUGUUGGCUCAGAAGCAGCCAUUCAUUCAAAGAGUGCGUAACAGCUCACUAGUCGAGAGUCCCUGCGCCGAAAAUGUCCGGGGCUGAAACACAACACCGAAGCUGUGGAAUCAUACCUAGUAUGAUUGGUAGAGGAGCAUUCUUAAGACCGACGAAGCUGUACCGAUAAGGAGCAGUGGAGGGAUAAGAAGAGAGAAUGCCGGAAUGAGUAGCGAGAGGAAGGUGAGAAUCCUUCCGGCCGAAUAUCCAAGGAUUCCAGGGUAAAGCUGAUCUGCCCUGGGUAAGUCGGGACCUAAGGAGAGGCCGAGAGGCGUAUCCGAUGGACAACAGGUUUAGAUUCCUGUACCACAUAUGGUCAGAACUGUGGGGACGCAGAAGGAAAGCAUGAGCCAGGAAUGGAAAGACUGGUACAAGCAGAGGGGAUGGUGUGCUGGCAAAUCCGCACACGAAAGUCCUUGCUGUGAUGUGGAGCGAACCAAAGUAGCGAAGCAUGCAGACCGGCUGCCGAGAAAAGCCGCUAUUGUGCCAUAUGUGCCCGUACCGUAAACCGACACAGGUGGAUGAGGAGAGAAUCCUAAGGCCGACGGAAGAAGUAUUGUUAAGGAACUCGGCAAAAUGACCCCGUAACUUCGGGAGAAGGGGUGCCUGCGAGAGCAGGCCGCAGAGAAUAGGCUCAAGCAACUGUUUAGCAAAAACACAGGUCUAUGCAAAACCGAAAGGUGAAGUAUAUGGGCUGACGCCUGCCCGGUGCUGGAAGGUUAAGAGGAGAGGUUAGCGCAAGCGAAGCUUUGAAUUUAAGCCCCAGUAAACGGCGGCCGUAACUAUAACGGUCCUAAGGUAGCGAAAUUCCUUGUCGGGUAAGUUCCGACCCGCACGAAAGGCGUAAUGAUUUGAGCGCUGUCUCGACAAUGCAUCCGGUGAAAUUGAAGUACCAGUGAAGAUGCUGGUUACCCGCGCCAGGACGGAAAGACCCCAUGGAGCUUUACUCCA
rnacentral:rRNA from 1 species